rnacentral:lncRNA from 1 species
ACCGGCGUUGGCUUUUAAGUAGCUCGUUCAGGCGCUUCUCAUCCUUCUUUCUUUUGCGUCCGCUCAUCUUCAUAUCUUGUGACACAUAAACUACAUGUGAUUAAAGUGGUGACACUAAAAACAGGAACUGGUAGUAGGCUGACAUUUACGCAUGCAUAGUCCGUCAUCUGCUGCCAUGUGACAAGCAGUUCUGCAGGUGCACUUUAUGGCCCAUUCUCUACCAUGGUUGUUGCUCCUCCUUGGUCUUUUCAUAGGGUCAGGAACACUGGGAGAAGAUACAGUGGGGAAGAUAUCCUUGGGGAGUUGGCCACUUGGCCCCUGGAGGUCCCAGCAGAGCAAGAGGUAGAAAGUGUUACAUGGAGCUCUUGAGAGCGUGUUGCUGUUUUACAACAAGGAUGAACAGACAAACCAGUUCUGGUUUCUGAGACUCAGGGACCCUACAGUGGAUGACUGAACAUUCCCCACCACAGCUACUCUCUUCAGAUCAGCCCCCUGAGGCUGCAGGACUAUAAGCCUAUAAGCCUGGGUAACUCUGCAUACUUCCUCAAUCAUUAUCACCAGGGAUUUCACCCUGCUUGUCUAUGAGAUGCUGUAGGAGUUGAACAUCUUUGCCAGCUCCCAGAUCAUGAAGGAUGGGACCUGCUUCAUCACCCUGGCCUGCUCCCUGGAACAGGCUGGAGAGAAUGUGCAGAACAGCUGGGAGCCUCCUAGUCAUGGGGCAGUUGUGUCCCAUGGGGGGACCACUCUCAGUGUCCCCUGGAUAUCUGGGGAAAGUGAGAGCUAUCACUGCACUGCCAGGAAUCCCACCAGCCAGAGCUCCAGCUCUGUCCUUACCAGACCCCUUUGCUCAGCCUCCUUUGUACCCCACUCCCUGAGGAAAGAAUUUCUUCCUUUUUUGAUUCUGGGAGUUUUGGGGAUUGAAUAGAUUUCACCUGGACAUGGGGAGAAACCAAGAAGAGAAGUACGAGAUGGCGGCCAUCCUGUGAGACACAGAGUUAAAGAAGUUCGCAUGUGGAGUGCUGCCUGAGGCCAGCAUUUCCUGGUGUGAGAGAAGGACAUUGACACUGAUUAAGGCAUAAACCCUAUUUCAUUUACAAACUGAGUUCAAAAUUAUCAGGAAACUGCUAUGUGUCUUCUGUUUAAAAUAAUCUGUUUAUGUUUUAUUGAAGUGUGUUUUUAAGUGUUCAGAAAGAAAAAGGAGCUUAUUUAUUUAAGAAAAAUUGAAUGGAACAUAAAAACAUUGUUAUUGUCACACAUAUAUAUUAUUAAGUUUUUGUUAAUGUUUAAAUAACUAGAUUCAGCCCAGCUUCAGCUUGAAUGUCAUCUCCUUGGAGCAGCCUUUGGCCACUAUACUUAAGUAGAUCUUUCCUCUCAUUCAUAAUCAAUGUAUGUUUAAAAAAAUAAUCUGGAGUCUGUUAGGCUGAGACGGCCCUAGCAAUCUGGGAUUCUACACAAGCAAACAGAAAACCAACUCAGAAUGACUUAACCAGUCGGAAACCACCAGGUAAUCUCUAAAUGGGGAAUUCCAUUUAAGCCAUCAAAUAUUUUCUUUUCUUCUUUUUAUUUUGCAUAGAGACAGGAUCUAACUCUGUUGCUCAGGCUGGUCUCAAACUCCUGGCCUCAAGUGAUCUUCUCACCUUGGCCUCCCAAAGUGCGGAGAUUACAGGCAUAGACCACCAUGCCUGGCACACUUAUUUGUUGGUUUACUUAUUUAUUGUUUAUUUCCCUCACAAGAUAUUCAGCUCUAUGAGGAUAAGAACUAUUUCUAUAUAUAUUUUUUCAAAACUAAAAACCCAAAGGGUAAUAGUGUUUGGCUUAUGAUAGAUACUUCAACAUUUACUGAAUGAAUGAAAGAAUGAAUUGGAGUUGAGAAUAUUUUUUCUUAAGAUUUGAAGACUAUUAGGAGGUUUUACAAGGAUCUGGGGCCUACACCAUUGUCUGUUUUCUCUUUCUGCUUUUGAUGGAGAGAAGCAGCAAAUUAAAUCUUUAUCCUAAAAGUUUCCUAGAAUGCUCAACAGUUAGCAAAAGAAAAAGUUAAAAUAAAAGAAACAUUUAUGUUUUGUUUUGACAGAAAGCUGCUCUGCAGUGCUAGAUACGUUAAUCUAGAAUUUGAACCAUAUACAAAUAACUGAACCAAAAGCAAAAUUUAGGUGGGAAACUUUGAGCUUCUCUUUCUUUUUCUUACUCUCAGUUGAUCAGCUCAUUUCCUAGUUCAUUCACAGAGAGGAUUGGCAAAUAUCACCCAUUACACACAAAGCUUCCAAUCAAGUAGUUAAUGACUUAUUUGGAAAUAUAAGAGGGCAGACAGGAUCACAAGAUAUUUGGGGAAGGCCUCUAACAUGAAAGACAAUCUCCAAACCAAAUGAAUCAGGGGGAAAAAAGAAACUUGGAAGAAAAGAGAUAAUACAGGGAGCAGGAGAAAAUUAAAUAAAAUCCCUCAAACAAUAUUCUUAGAGACAUAUAAAAAGAUUUUCACUUAAAAACAGAAACAGGGUGCCAGCCUAAGAAAAACUGAAAAGUCCAAGAGUAAGAAAGAGCCCUAGUAACAAUAAAUACAUAAAUAAAAAGCAGAAAACUUCUAAAAUUCAAUGGAAGUGUUGGAAAAUCAAAUGAAGAAACUCUCUCAGAAAGUAGAACUAAAGACAAACAGAUGAAAAUAAAAGAGAAAAGAUAAGGCCAUUAAAGAAUCAGCCCAGGAACUCCAACCCCUGGAUAACACAGUUCCAGAAAGGGACAUGUCUUAGUCUAUUUUGUGCUGCCAUGGCAGAAUCCCACAGAUCGGAUAAUUUAUAAACAGUAGAAUUUUAUUUGUCUCAUGAUUCUGGAGACUGGGAAGUCCAAGAUCAAGGGGCUGCAUCUGGUGAGGACCUUUUUGCUGCAUCAUAACAUGGUGGAAGGCAUAACAUGAUCAGAAAGUGAGUGUGUGUGUGUGUGUGUGUGUGUGUGUUUGUGUGUGUGAGAGAGAGAGAGGGGAGGGGGCUGGACCCAUCCUUCGAUUAGGAACUCACUCCCCCAAUAACUAACCCACUCCCAAGAUAAUGGCAUUAACCAAUUCAUGAGGGCUCUUAAAAUUCCCACCUCUCAACUCUGUUGUACUGGGGAUUAAUAGAGGCAGCAGGACCAGAGCACCCAGUGAAAGACAUUAUCAACUAUAGGAAAAACAAAGAAUGGUUAGGAAGGAAAUUGAAUACUCUACAUGGCUCGAAUGUGAAUACUUAUUGUCAUAAAUGUUAAAUACAGUUUAGCAAAAAGCUAUGUUACAACAUACUCUGGCGGGAUGGGCAGAAAGGCCUUUGUGUUGCUGAGUGGCUAAAGAGUGUGGAGGACAGUGGAUGAGAGAGCCAAAUACCUAUCUCCAUAGCAGGAAGUCAAUAACUAAUGUCUAAAAUCAAGAAAGGACAGAACAAAUAUAUCAUUUCUAAAUAUCAAGGAAGUAUCAUGAGAAAAAACAAAUAAUUGACAGUGGUUGCCAGCACAACAGUUGCCAGAACAGCAGUUCUGGGUGUAGUGUGGCAGAAGACUGCUGCUUUUUUUUUUUUCAAAAUUUAUUAUGUCUUAUGCUAUUAGUUGAAUUUUAUAACUAUAUAUAUGUAGUAUUUUGAAAAAAAUUAAAAUAUUAGAAAGCACAUGCACCAAGAGAUGAAGAACAAUAACCAAAAAGAGAACUCAAAGGUCUAGGAACUUGACUGGGUGGAAAUGGGAGGAUUUUAAUGGGCCACGGGGUUCUACAGGAAGAGUGAAUGGUUUAAACAAAGAGGCAGAGACUAAUCAGUCAAAUUUUAGUUGAAACAAAAUUAGAGUUGAAUAUCUUUUCUCCAAAUCUAGGUCCAAUUAUACAUUCAACAAAAUUCAACAUUACUGACUAGUUAAUAUUUAUGCUUAUUUACAGAUAUAACAAAAUUUCAUAGCUAGGGAAGCAGUUCUGGGGCUGUCAGUGAUCUUGCUUGUUAUUCCAGACAACUGUCAUUCAGGGACUCCAGGUAGCAUGAUCCUGAGAGCAAAUGCACCAUUGUUAAAGGCAUAGACGUAUAAAUACAAACCUCUGCCACAGAGCACUAUUCACUCUUUGCGUCUGAAGAGAACCAGAACCCCUUAACUCUUGGGCGGCAGCCUGCCGUCUGAAUGUGAAGGAGAAGGAAGAAUUAGUACAAUGCCUGUUUUUGAGCUCUUCAAGUCACCAGCAUUUUGUAGGAGUGGAAUGCUUCAUCUCCUGGCCCCUAACUUCGGGGUAGCAAAAUGAGAAGCUAAUGCCUGCUGGAAAGGGUCCCAAGAUAGAGAAGCUAAUGCCUGCUGGAAAAGGUCCCAAGAUACUGAAAGCUCUGAGAUUGCACUAGAAGAGAAGAGCUCAAAUCCUGCCACUUACCCACAAAAAGCCAGGGAAGUGAGUGUCUACUGGAAAUUGUUUUAGGUGUGAAGUAUGAACUGUAUGUAUCUGAAGGCUUCCUGCCUUGGUGCUGCCAGAUGCCCUUGCUGUGUGACAGGAGGAGGUGAGAACAGGUUGAAAGAGGAGGAAACGACUAAUGACCCUUAGGAGCAGAUCGAUUACCACCCUAUGAAAGAGUAAGUUGACAGUUCAGACUAUGCAAAAACAAAUUGUUGGAAAAGCCCCCUUCAUUUUUCUUAGCCGAAAAGUAAACAGAUUGCUACAAUCUGGCAUCUCUGUAGUUUUACCCACUCUCUCCACACCCCAAAGUACAGCCAUUAAAGCCCCACGGUCACUACACAUGUCUCUGUGUUAUGACCUUGCUUUUCUUUCUCCUCGAGGGGACUCAUUGACCUUUCUCCAUCUGGCUCAAUCUGUGUCAAGUUGCUUCUUGACCCAUUUGUUUUUCCAUCGGUUGUGAGCUCUUUGAAGUUAGGGGUCAUGCUUUAUCCAUCCCUGCUUCUUGGCCAUAGCACAUAGUUGGUGCUCACUAAAUACUUGCUGAAACACUUGUCAACUAAAGAAAAGCCAAGUUUUUAAAGAAUUAAAGUGAGUUUUAUUUAGUCUUACUGAGGUUGGCAACCCAGGAGAGUCUUUCGGAGAGUUUCUGUUAGACUGCUCCAAAGCAGUGUUUCAGCCUACAGCUUAUACAUAAGGUGACAGUCAUUCUGCCUGUGCUCAAAAGUUAUGUAAGAGCAAAAUUUCACCAAAGUUUGGGUGCAAGGGUACAUCUAGUUAUAGAUUACAGAGGCAUAAUGAUUAAUCCUGUCAACCAUUAUCUUAUGUACAGCAAAAAGACAAAGGCCAGGAUCAUUGAAUUUAUCUUUUCUAAAAAUGCAGUGAUUUAGGUAAGAGAUGUGGUAACCUGGGCUCCAUCCUUCUUAUCAUCUUCAGGGCAUCCUUCCGAAGGGCUGUCCUCAGUCACUGAGUCAGGGGCUUUGUGAAAUUCUGCUGGCAGCUGAAUGAGCAAACAUGGCCUCUUAUGUUUGCUACUUUGUCUUACAGAGUAAGUGAAUGUAAAACAAAAACAAAAACAGAAUGAAUGAAUGAAAGUCUCUGUGAGAGAAGCAACCUAUCCAUUGCUGUUUGCCUUUCCCACAGUUCUGGGUUUGGCUAGGGAGAGUUCACAUCCCUGCUGAUGUUUAUUUUAAAUUUCGAAGCAAUAAGGAAAUUGAAAAAUGGACACAAAAUUCAGGGGUAUCUAUUUCCUUUCUAUUCAUACAGCCUUAUAUUUUGCCUUCUAAGCUAUUCUUUUCCUUGUAUUCUUUUUAGACUCUCAUUCAGAUUAUGUUACCUCAAUAUUCUUCCCUUAGAAGACUUUAAGAAGCAGAUUCCAUUCAACAGUUUUACUCUACAGAAAUACUGUGUGUAAGGCCGGGUGCGGUGGCUCAUGCCUGUAAUCCCAGCACUUUGGGAGGCUGAGGCAGGUGGAUCCCCUGAGGUCAGAAGUUUGAGACCAGCUGGCCAACAUGGUGAAAUCCCAUUUCUACUAAAAAUACAAAAUUUAGCUGGGUGUAGUGGUGCACACCUGUAAUCCCAGCUCCUCAGCUACUCAGGAGGCUAAGGGAGGAGAAUUGCUUGAACCUAGGAGAUGAAGGUUGCAGUGAGCCAAGAUUGCACCACUGCACUCCUGCCUGGGCAACAGAGUGAGACUCCAUCUCAAAAAAAAAAAAAAAAGAAGAAGAAGAAGAAGAGGAAAUACUGUGUGUUUUCCUCAGUGUUCAUGAAGCUUAAUGUGCAGGUAUUUUCAUAAGGUUCUAUAUUUUAUUGAAAAACAGACAACAAAACAAGAAACAGACUAGUAAAAUUGCUGAAUAUGUGCAUGGUUUGCCAGCUGGGCCAAGAGGAGGCAGCAGUGAGCUAACCCAGGGCUUGCUGUGUGGCUUGGAGGAUCCUGUCACCAUCAGCCUGCAUUGUGACCUUGCUUUCAUUUUCUCUCUCUGAGAUGAGGGAGUUAGACUACAUGAUCCUUAGAGUCUCUUCCAGCUCCAAAAUUCUCUGUGUAAGUUUUAAAUAGAUGUUUGGGACUGAUUUAGGUCUGGGAAGAGAAAAGUGAAGGAAACAGACAAAAAUUCCCUCCGUUUAUGAAGCUUACAUUCCCAUGGGGCCUUCCAGACCCUACGGUUGUCAUAGUGGCGAGGAGGCUGCCUGGAUUGGAGGGUAUGAGGCUGGGUAGGAAGUCAGACCAGGGCUUGACCAGUAGGCAUCAGACAGAUCCAGGGACCAGGCAAAGCAGGAAAUGAAUGAAAUUCACUGGGUCCAAGUGAGAUGGGAGCAGGGAACAGGCUCUCCACAGAGCCAAGCAAUCAGAGGGAUUGUGCUAGGUCCCUAACUGACCAGGAGGAGACAGGCAGAGUUGUACCCACAGGACAGUUGGGCCUGCAGAACCUCCAGAACCAGAAAGUCCGUUUAGCAGCCUGACUCAGCAAGGCUUGCUUCUGCUCCUGGGGAGAUGCACAGGUCCCAGCAUGCAAGUGACUGGGAGGGAACAUGGAGAACACAGCAAAGAGGAGGAGCUAGAAAGAGCACCGGAGGAGUGAGGGGAGGAACAGCUCAGAGCCUUAUAGCUGACAAGCCUUCUGUAAGGGUGGCGUGAAUGAGUGAAUGACACAGAGGGGAGUGUUUGCUACUUUGCUUGAUCUGUGAGCACUGGUCAGCUGCCUCUUAUUAUAUGCCUCAACUUUAUAAUGAUAUGAUUAACUGCUAUUCUCAGGUCUUCAGUUACUCUUUAUACUUAAAGUUCUAGAGGCUCAGUUCUGAAUGGAAUCUAUAUAAUUAGCCAGUAGUCUCUUUAUGAUGAGGUAACUUCUGUCGAAGGACUGUGAUGUUAUACUCUGCUGAACACUUUACGUGUAUGAUUAUCUUUACCUUUAAUCUCACUACAAUCCUAUGAGGUAGAAAGUAUCUUUCACAUUUUAUAGAAGAGAAAACUGAGGUUCCAAGAAACUAAGCAUUUUGCUCAUGGUCAUAGGACUAAGAGAAGAUACAUGACGUCCAGAGUUGCUUUUCUCUUUCUCUCUCUCUUUCUCUAUCUCUUUCUCUCUCUCUCUCUCUCUCUCUCUCUCUCUCUCCCCCCUCCCCUCUCUGUAUCUCUUCCUCUCUCCUCUCCAAGUUUUCAGUGUGGUGAAAGUAAUGCAGAUUAGUGACUAACCACUGUGGGUAGCAUGGGUUUUUUCUUCUUUUUCCCCUUUUUAAUUACACAUCCUUUCCUUUCGUUUUCCUGGUGCUCUAAGCCAGCUCACCCCUGGUUUUUUAUUCUGCCUUGUUUGGGAUGGAGGUGGUAUGCAUGGAAGAGCAAAAGCAAAAACUUUAGGUAGCCUCAGCCCUAAAGUAGAGCCAGGAUCCACACCAAUGUCUCCUCUUAACUGCCUCAACCACUUGCCUUGCUGUCUGCCCAUCUUUGAAGUGGAGAUCUUAGUGGUUAGCCUCUGGGCCUCACCUUCAUCUCUCCCUGUCCUCAUCUUGUUUGCUUUCUUCCCAGACUAACUCAGCUCCAGGAUUGUCCCUUCUGGAAGCUAUCCCAUGCGGCUGUCCCUGCCUUAUACAGGAUCUACCUUGGCAGAGGGAAAACAACUCUUGGUCCUUGUCAUGGUAAAUUUUAUGUGUCAACUUGACUGGGCUAAGGGAUGCUCAGAUACCAGAUAAAAUAUUGUUGCUGGGUGUUUUCAGAGGUCAUCAGCAUUGGAAUCAGUAGAUGAAGUAAAGAAGAUUGCCCUCACCAAUGAGGGCAGGCAUCACACAUCUAUCGAGGACCUGAAUAGAACAAAAACGCAGAGAGGAGGGAUAAGGAAGGACUUGUUAAAGAUUACAAAAUUAUAGCUAGAUAGGAGGAAUAAGAGGAAUAAGUUAUAGUGUUCUAUACCACUCUAGGAUGACUACAGUUAACAAUAAUGUACAGUUUUAGAUAACUAGAAGGAGGACAUUGAAUGUUCCCAACACAAAGAAAUGAUAAAUGUUUGAGAUGACAAGUAUGUUAAUUACCCUUAUGUUAUCACUACAAAUUAUAUGGCUCUAAACAUCACUAUGUACUCCAAGAAUAUGUACAAUUAUCAUUUGUCAAUUAAAAAUAUAUACAUACCAUGGAAUACUAUGCAGCUAUAAAAAAGAAUGGGAUCAUGUUUUCUGCGGGAACAUGGAUGGUGCUGGAGGCCAUUAUCCUUAGCAAACUAACACAGGAACAGAAAACCAAAUACUGCAUGUUCUCACUUAUAAGUGGAAGCUAAGUGAUAACUCAUGGACACAAAGAAGGGAACAACAGACACUGGGGCCUACUUGAGGGUGGAGGGUGGGAAGAGGGAGAGGAGCAGAAAAAAUAAUGAUUGAAUAGUAGGCUUAGUAUCCGGGAGAUGAAAUAAUCUACCUGACAAAUCCCCAUGACACGAGUUUACCUACAUAACACAUCUGCGUAUAUACCCCUGAACCUAAAAUAAAAAUUAAAAAAUAAAAUAAAAACAGAAAGGUGAAGGAUGGAAGGAAAUUAGUUUCUUUGCUUGAGUUGAGACAUCCAUCUUCUCCUCCCCUCAG